rnacentral:rRNA from 1 species
AACGAACGCUGGCGGCGUGCCUAACACAUGCAAGUCGAGCGAGAAAGUCCCGGCAACGGGAUGAGUAAAGCGGCAAACGGGUGAGUAACGCGUGGGUAAUCUACCCUACGGAUCGGGAUAACCUGCCGAAGGGUGGACUAAUACCGGAUGAUGUUCUCGCGGUGAUUCCGUGGGAACCAAAGGGGGCGAGCGUAAGCAGCUCUCACCGAAGGAGGAGCCUGCGUCCGAUUAGCUAGUUGGUGGGGUAAUGGCCUACCAAGGCGACGAUCGGUAGCCGGCCUGAGAGGGCGAUCGGCCACACUGGAACUGAGACACGGUCCAGACUCCUACGGGAGGCAGCAGUGGGGAAUAUUGCGCAAUGGGCGAAAGCCUGACGCAGCGACGCCGCGUGGGUGAUGAAGGCCUUCGGGUCGUAAAGCCCUGUCUGGUGGAACGAAACGCCUGGCGGCCAAUACCCGCCGGGUUUGACGGUACCACCGAAGGAAGCCCCGGCUAACUACGUGCCAGCAGCCGCGGUAAGACGUAGGGGGCGAGCGUUGUUCGGAUUUACUGGGCGUAAAGCGCGCGUAGGCGGCCAGAUAAGUCGGGUGUGAAAGCCCUCGGCUCAACCGAGGUUCCGCAUCCGAUACUGCUUGGCUGGAGUCUAGGAGAGGAGAGCGGAAUUCCCAGUGUAGCGGUGAAAUGCGUAGAUAUUGGGAGGAACACCCGUGGCGAAGGCGGCUCUCUGGACUAGUACUGACGCUGAGGCGCGAAAGCUAGGGGAGCGAACGGGAUUAGAUACCCCGGUAGUCCUAGCCGUAAACGAUGGGCACUAGGUGUGGGAGGUAUUGACCCCUUCCGCGCCGAAGCUAACGCAUUAAGUGCCCCGCCUGGGGAGUACGGCCGCAAGGCUAAAACUCAAAGGAAUUGACGGGGGCCCGCACAAGCGGUGGAGCAUGUGGUUCAAUUCGACGCAACGCGAAGAACCUUACCAGGGCUUGACAUCCCACGAACCUGCCUGAAAGGGCGGGGUGCC